rnacentral:lncRNA from 1 species
CUGUGGCCAUUUACUAGGCUUUCUUUGGUGUGCCUUCUCCUUCAAGUGUGCGUGCCCCUGUGGGAACUCCUCAUCACAUGUACCUGAACCUGUCAAAACAUGUAUUGCGUAAUGUCAGCCGUUUCAGAUUACAUGCUCACACCUUGCGUGCAGACUGUGCGAUUGGUCCCGUGAACAGAUUUCUCCUAUUUGUGAUAGAUGCAGCUUGCAUGAGGAUCAAGAUGAAGUUCAUGUGCUUCUCAAGUGUUCAUGUCCUGA